CGUCCUGACGGGACAAAACCACCGGGAGGAGGAGAAAGAGGACUCAACCACCUUGAAGGGCGGCUGCGAGCCCCGGUGGGCCUGCUGAGGACUGGACCACUCUGAGCAGGACAGGGGGGCCUUGAUGUUAUCUGGCUUGCGCUCCCUCUCCCCCGCCAGGCGUCUUGGUACUGGCUGCCGGUCCCUGCCCCAGGCAACCUUCAGCCAUGCAGGGCAGGGGCAGGUUGUGAAUUAGCCCAUGGGCACCUGACUUGAGGAGCUUGAUGCUGCCCACGGGAGCUGGGGAGCCCAGGAAUUUCCUCGAGGAAGGAGUACAGGAAAGGGAGAAGAAAGCAAAAGGAGGAGGUGGAACCUUUGAAACCUGUUUGGUGUGUAAAAAAGAACUAAAAAGGAAUAAAAACAAAUGGAACUGAUACAGCUUUUGGAGCAGUGCAUCUCUAGUAUGCUGCUCUCCUUGAGCACAACAAAUAGAAACCAGCUGCCUUGAAUCGAAGACUGCUGCCUAGUAGGAAGAAUGCAUAUCAUAGCAAUUGUAAAGUACCUGGAUACAAAUGAAUGAGAUAAGAGUUUUACUGAGAGAUUUAAUUCAGUUGAGCUCAAAUAAAACUGCAUGAGCCAUUGUA